rnacentral:rRNA from 1 species
CCCUUAGAUGUUCUGGGCCGCACGCGUGCUACACUGAGUGGAUCAGCGGGUCAGGUUGCGCGAAAGUGUUUCCUAAUCUUGAAAUCCGCUCGUGAUGGGGAUUGACGGUUGCAAUUUUCCGUCAUGAACGAGGAAUACCUUGUAAGCGCGGGUCAUCAUCCUGCGCUGAAUACGUCCCUGCCCUUUGUACACACCGCCCGUCGCUCCUACCGAUUGAGUGGUCCGGUGAGGCUUUGGGAUCUGAGCAAAGAGAGCGUUUCGCUCGUUUUGCCCGGAAAACUCAGUCGAACCUUAUCAUUUAGAGGAAGGAGAAGUCGUAACA